rnacentral:rRNA from 1 species
GGAUGCGAUCAUACCAGCACUAAAGCACCGGAUCCCAUCAGAACUCCGAAGUUAAGCGUGCUUGGGCGAGAGUAGUACUAGGAUGGGUGACCUACUGGGAAGUCCUCAUUUUGCAUUCC